ensembl:misc_RNA Metazoa_SRP Metazoan signal recognition particle RNA
GCUGGGUGUGGUGGUGCACACCUGUAGUCCUGGCUACCCUGGAGGCUGAGGUGGGAGGAUUGCUUGAGCCUUGGGGGUCGAGGCUGCAGUGAGCCACGAUCAAGCCACUGCAUUCCAGCCUGGGCAACAGAAUGAGACCCCAUCUCAA